rnacentral:rRNA from 1 species
UACGGGGGGGGGUAAGCGUUGUUCGGAAUUACUGGGCGUAAAGGGCUCGUAGGCGGCCAACUAAGUCAUACGUGAAAUCCCUCAGCUUAACUGGGGAACUGCGUGUGAUACUGGAUGGCUUGGAUGUGGGAGAGGGAUGCGGAAUUCCAGGUGUAGCGGUGAAAUGCGUAGAUAUCUGGAGGAACACCGGUGGCGAAGGCGGCAUCCUGGACCAUUAUUGACGCUGAGGAGCGAAAGCCAGGGGAGCAAAGCGGG